rnacentral:rRNA from 1 species
UUUGUCCUACGGGACGCAGCAGUGAGGAAUAUUGGUCAAUGGGAGAGAUCCCGAACCAGCCAAGCCGCGUGAGGGAAGACGGCCCUAUGGGUUGUAAACCUCUUUUGUCGGAGAACAAAACCCGGGACGAGUCCCGGACUGCGUGUAUCCGAAGAAAAAGCAUCGGCUAACUCCGUGCCAGCAGCCGCGGUAAUACGGAGGAUGCGAGCGUUAUCCGGAUUUAUUGGGUUUAAAGGGUGCGUAGGCGGUCUGUUAAGUCAGCGGUAAAAUUGCGGGGCUCAACCCCGUCGAGCCGUUGAAACUGG